CAGCACGUGAACUGGAUUAUAUGUGAAUUUGCCUGUGCCUAAGUUACUUAUAUCCGGAUGAUUUACUUAUAUCUGAGCUGUGAUACAGACUCGGUGGAAUAUGUGGCGACAAACAAUGUGGCUGUGUUACAAGUUCCUUAAUUAAUUCUGAGAACUGCAAAAAUCGACUAUGUUUUUCUUGUAUUCGGGACAAAGAACAUUCUAUCCGAGAUGUUAACCUUCAAGAUAACAAAAUGAAGUAUUGCGAUGUUCGUGUGAAAUGUGGUAAUGUUCAAAACAGUCGCCAAAACGCCUAAACGGGUACAAUUCCAGUAUAUCUAACUUAGAAACAAGAUUAUCUCAAAUUCCUUGAUUCUAAAGAACCCUUGUCAUCAAUCCCUGGCCAUUUCUGCGUUUCGUGUCAUCACGAAAACACAACAGUAUUGUAAAAAAUUGAACGUGUCUGUGUUCAAAACAAUGAUGCCUACUGCCCGGCAGCCAUGUUGAUUAUGGCUAACAAUGACCACGAGCCAUUAGCACACAAACACAAGAAAUAAAAUAAACAGACUUAUUGACGUUGUACUACAAUACUGUCUUUGUUCUUACAUGUAUAAACAUGUAAUAGUCAACUACCAAGAUCCCAGCUUCAGAAACAGGUACAGACCAUAUAAAAGACUUGAAAAGAAAAGCAACAACCUGAAUCUUAAACUUAAUUAUCCUGCAAGAUCGAUAUUACUAUAUUAAUGCUUAGUAUACAGAAUGCUUUUUUUAGAAACUAAAUUAUUCUUUUCCAAUC